rnacentral:lncRNA from 1 species
AUGUGUUUAGUACCAACUACCUGCAAGAUGGCUCCUGGAGGCUUCACGGUGGACAGGAUUCUGGAAGUACUCAGAACUGAGGCCCCGUGGACGUCUGUUUUCCGAGAAAUAAAUUGGAACUUGCUCUGGGUGCACCCUCCCCGGCCCAGUCUGCUCCCCUCCUUUGGUCUCACCACUUCUCUCUAGUGCACUCCCACACUGUUCAAGAGGCCGUGCUUCAUGGCUGGGACAGAAUGGAAAUAGUCAAGCAAGAAGUAAUAGCCAAGCAGGGAGAAGGAAGAUCUUGCCCUUGAUUGGCUCUUCUCCAUAAGCCUCAGAGAUGUGGGUCAAUCAAGUAAGUCCCAUGUACCGAUAUUUUUCAUUCUGUACCACUUGAAAGCAUUUCCUGAGUCCUCUUACAGGAAUAAUAGUCUAGUGGUCUUUACAUAGUAUACUGGUCUUCUUAUAUUUCUGUCUCUCCGAAUGGCUUAACUGUAUGAUUUUCGCCCACUCAACUCUGCUGACAGUUUAAACUAAGAGUUAACUACUGAACCCUGAUAUAUUUGAGAGUGUGUUUACCUUGGAAUUAUUCUGAAGGCAAUAACAAAAAUAAAAAAUCUGCUGGGAAAAUACAGUAGUAACGCAACGGGUGGUGAGAGUGAAUGUGUAAACACACUUUUUUGUUUUCAAAUGCUCCAUUCCCCACAAGACAUCCCCAGAGCUGAGGAGUUUGGGGAGUUCUGGGGAUGUACAUAUUGGUUGCUCAUGUAGGG